UAUUCUAGCCUCCAUUUCGGUGACUCAGAGCUCUAGCCCUUAAAGGCUGGUAAACUACUGACAUUGGCUCCUGUGGGACACAGAGAUCAUCCUUCUACAAUGUGUGAAGACCUUCCAUUUUGUGCUCAGGGCACUGAAAGUGCUGGUGAUCUACAUGUCCUGUAGAUUGAUUUCUCUAUUUGAGACAUUCAUCCACAACAAC
rnacentral:lncRNA from 1 species